rnacentral:rRNA from 1 species
GAUUACAGCCAUACCACCCUGAACCUGCCGAUCUCUAAGCAGAGUCGACCCUGGUUAGUAGUGGAUGGGGUGUAAAGUUUUGGGUGGCUGUGACUC